rnacentral:lncRNA from 1 species
GCCGCUGAUAAUGAUAUGACAUAAGAAGUUCCUUCCAACCAAACCUCUAUCAAUGAACCCUGGUAAUGUGUAUCCAUUCUUGUUAUAAUCAUAAGUUUAGUUCUAACUUAGUUUUAUCCUUAAUGAUUCAAAUUUGACUGAUUUUUUUUUCUAAGUCUAGAUUAUGUAUUCUUCACAUCUUUAUUUGUCUAUUACAUCAUCUAUUUAAAUU